UCAGUGCUUUUCCCUUGCUUGUUGGGUCCCUCGACCAAAUGACCCAUCGCCCAUCUUUCCCCGUUUGGCUCAGUGCUUAGGCAUCACUUUCCAGACACCAGCUCCCAGGGCGGGCUGGGGCCUGUCCUCGGUGUGCCUGUAGCCUUAUUUUCUGUACAAGAAGAACACCAUUCAAUUUGUUUGUCUCACAAGCCUAUCAAUGGGUGAAGAGGGGGAAGCUUUGGACAUUGUAUAAGAUCAAUUGGAGGGAAGAGAGGCUGGUUCUCCUCCACCACUUAGGGGUCCUACUUUCACAGAAACAUCUUCCUUUUACCUUGAGAGUCAUUUCGUGGCUUUUUGUUGGUGGAAUCUUCAUGGAAACCUAGGACUAGAUUCUAGGGGCAGGACAUCUCUGGUAUCCCAGCACCUCACCAGGGUUUGGCUCAUACCUGUUUCUCCUCUUCUUUUAUACAAGGGAGACCAAUGCACAGAGAGGGAAAGGAACUCACCCGAGGUCACACAGCAAAUCAAGGCAGGGUUGGGACCUUUCCUUUAAAGGACACUAAAAAAACUGAAAAGAGCCCUUAGGUGGGAGCCAGGAGAAGAGUAAGUUUUAGCCUCACUUUGACGCCCCUCCAGUCCCAAACAAGUCACACGCCUGUAAUCUCCGUGGACACCUCUCCCGUCCCCCUCCCCCACCUGGUUUCCUUCCUGCUAGUUCCGAUGGUGGGGGUGGGGAAUAUUUUCUGAGAGCAGACUGCUCCUUUAAGACGCCUCCCUCGCUCUCUUCCAGGCUAGUGGGAGAGCUGGGCCAGGACGUGGUGGGGGCGGGGGUGGAGGUGGGGGACCUGCAGUAGGGGUUGGUGGCAGGUCCUAGCUGCAAGGCUUGAUAGGUCCAACACUCAGAGAAUGAGUCUGCUCAGGACAAAGAAUGUCAAAUGUCCCUUUUGUUCUGGGGCAGGGUGGGGCUAGUGCCUGGCAGGCAUGGGGAAAAACAGAGCUGGAUGGACCUGUCCAGGUCAGGACUGGGUAGACAGGGGUCUCCUCUCUAGGUCAGAUAAAUGAGUCUAGUCUGCCCUCCCAGGUCCAAGAGUGCCUUGGCCUGCUGUUGCAGGAAAGUCACUUGCCUGGUCACACAGCAGAGAGGCAAGAACCUGGUAGGUCUGGGUCCCACGCACGGAUCAUGGUCUCGAGGCUUUCUCAGUGGGUUCUCCCCUCACUCACCAGCUGCAGAGCCCUCAACGGUGCAGAGCACUGUGCACUCCCAGUCUUCCCCAAACCCCCUGCAAGGGCCUCAUCACCCCAUCUCACAGGGGCGGGAAGUGACCCUCAAGGAGGGCAGUGACUGUCCCGCUCGCUGUAGGGAAGAGCAGCACCAGGAUUUGAAAGCAAGCCCUGGAACCUGUCCCCUUUCCCUUGAGGGCAAAGGUCACUCCAGGACAGAUUUUAACUGGACAAAGGGAUCGUCUGAAAGGUGAAGGGACUUGCCUCAGGUGACUGAGCCUGCCUGGGACAGGGACUGGUAGCCUCAUCCUCCGACCUGCUCUGACUGGCUUCAGACCCCGAAGAACUAAGGCUCCCAACCUCAGAAUGUGGCAGCCUUGCUUACUCGGGGCCAGCUGAAGCCCCGGGAUUGUACCUUGGAGCCCUAGGGCUCCAGCUGCUAAGACGGCGGCGGGAAGACAGCCUGACCCGAGAGCCAGCCUUCUUAUCUGCGCCAGAGACCUCACGGUGUCCUGCCACGACCCGUACCCCCAUGGCCUCCAUCCGGGACUGCUGCACAGCUCUGUUCUGAGUCCCCGCCCUGCGAAGGAGGCAACUUUCCCUUCAGGAGACUCAACAGAGGAAAAGUGAUCUCAUAAAAAGUCCCAGAGAGACUGGAACUAAUGUCAGCGUCAUGCACACUGAAAAGUACCCUCUUCAAUUCAACAAAGGUUUAUUGAGCAUCUGUCUGUACAGACCUUGUGCUGGGUGCUAGGCUGUUGUUGUUCAGUCGCUAAGUCAUGUCCAAUUCUUUGUUACCCCAGCACACCAGGCUUCCCUGUCCUUCAC